UACGUAGGGUGCGAGCGUUGUCCGGAAUUAUUGGGCGUAAAGAGCUCGUAGGCGGUUUGUCGCGUCGGCCGUGAAAUCUCCACGCUUAACGUGGAGCGUGCGGUCGAUACGGGCAGACUUGAGUUCGGUAGGGGAGACUGGAAUUCCUGGUGUAGCGGUGAAAUGCGCAGAUAUCAGGAAGAACACCCGUGGCGAAAGCGGCUCUCUGGAACGGUACUGACGCUGAGACGCGAAAGCGUGGGGAGCGAACAGG
rnacentral:rRNA from 1 species